rnacentral:rRNA from 1 species
AUUGAACGCUGGCGGCAGGCCUAACACAUGCAAGUCGAGCGGAUGAAGGGAGCUUGCUCCUGGAUUCAGCGGCGGACGGGUGAGUAAUGCCUAGGAAUCUGCCUGGUAGUGGGGGAUAACGUCCGGAAACGGGCGCUAAUACCGCAUACGUCCUGAGGGAGAAAGUGGGUGAUCUUCGGACCUCACGCUAUCAGAUGAGCCUAGGUCGGAUUAGCUAGUUGGUGGGGUAAAGGCCUACCAAGGCGACGAUCCGUAACUGGUCUGAGAGGAUGAUCAGUCACACUGGAACUGAGACACGGUCCAGACUCCUGCGGGAGGCAGCAGUGGGGAAUAUUGGACGAUGGGCGAAAGCCUGAUCCAGCCAUGCCGCGUGUGUGAAGAAGGUCUUCGGAUUGUAAAGCACUUUAAGUUGGGAGGAAGGGCAGUAAGUUAAUACCUUGCUGUUUUGACGUUACCAACAGAAUAAGCACCGGCUAACUUCGUG